GACGAACGCUGGCGGCGUGCUUAACACAUGCAAGUCGAACGGAAAGGCCCUGCUUUUGUGGGGUGCUCGAGUGGCGAACGGGUGAGUAACACGUGAGUAACCUGCCCUUGACUUUGGGAUAACUUCAGGAAACUGGGGCUAAUACCGGAUAGGAGCUCCUGCUGCAUGGUGGGGGUUGGAAAGUUUCGGCGGUUGGGGAUGGACUCGCGGCUUAUCAGCUUGUUGGUGGGGUAGUGGCUUACCAAGGCUUUGACGGGUAGCCGGCCUGAGAGGGUGACCGGCCACCUUGGGACUGAGAUACGGCCCAGACUCCUACGGGAGGCAGCAGUGGGGAAUAUUGCACAAUGGGCGGAAGCCGGAUGCAGCAACGCCGCGUGCGGGAUGACGGCCUUCGGGUUGUAAACCGCUUUCGCCUGUGACGAAGCGUGAGUGACGGUAAUGGGUAAAGAAGCACCGGCUAACUACGUG
rnacentral:rRNA from 1 species